rnacentral:rRNA from 1 species
AUUGAACACUGGCGGCAGGCUUAACACAUGCAAGUCGAGCGGAGAUGAGGUGCUUGCGCCUUAUCUUAGCGGCGGACGGGUGAGUAAUGCUUAGGAAUCUGCCUAUUAGUGGGGGACAACAUUCCGAAAGGAAUGCUAAUACCGCAUACGCCCUACGGGGGAAAGCAGGGGAUCUUCGGACCUUGCGCUAAUAGAUGAGCCUAAGUCGGAUUAGCUAGUUGGUGGGGUAAAGGCCUACCAAGGCGACGAUCUGUAGCGGGUCUGAGAGGAUGAUCCGCCACACUGGGACUGAGACACGGCCCAGACUCCUACGGGAGGCAGCAGUGGGGAAUAUUGGACAAUGGGCGGAAGCCUGAUCCAGCCAUGCCGCGUGUGUGAAGAAGGCCUUUUGGUUGUAAAGCACUUUAAGCGAGGAGGAGGCUACCUGGAUUAAUACUCUAGGAUAGUGGACGUUACUCGCAGAAUAAGCACCGGCUAACUCUGUGCCAGCCGCCGCCGUAAGAC